GACGAACCGUGCGAACGUUAUUCGGAAUCACUGGGCUUAAAGCGCGUGUAGGCGGGCCGGCACGUCGGUCGCUGAAAUCCCCCGGCUCAACCGGGGAAGGGGCGCCGAUACGACCGGCCUGGAGGGACGUAGGGGGGGCUGGAACUUCCGGUGGAGCGGUGAAAUGCGUUGAGAUCGGAAGGAACGCCCGUGGCGAAAGCGAGCCCCUGGACGUCUACUGACGCUGAGACGCGAAAGCCAGGGGAGCAAACGGG
rnacentral:rRNA from 1 species